rnacentral:rRNA from 1 species
AACGAACGCUGGCGGCAGGCUUAACACAUGCAAGUCGAGCGCCCCGCAAGGGGAGCGGCAGACGGGUGAGUAACGCGUGGGAAUCUACCCAUCUCUACGGAAUAACGCAUGGAAACGUGUGCUAAUACCGUAUACGUCCUUCGGGAGGAAGAUUUAUCGGAGAUGGAUGAGCCCGCGUUGGAUUAGCUAGUUGGUGGGGUAAAGGCCUACCAAGGCGACGAUCCAUAGCUGGUCUGAGAGGAUGAUCAGCCACACUGGGACUGAGACACGGCCCAGACUCCUACGGGAGGCAGCAGUGGGGAAUAUUGGACAAUGGGCGCAAGCCUGAUCCAGCCAUGCCGCGUGAGUGAUGAAGGCCCUAGGGCUGUAAAGCUCUUUCACCGGUGAAGAUAAUGACGGUAACCGGAGAAGAAGCCCCGGCUAACUUCGUGCCAGCCGCCGCCGUAAAAC